rnacentral:rRNA from 1 species
GACGAACGCUGGAGGCGUGCUUAACACAUGCAAGUCGAACGAUGAAAUGGAGCUUGCUCCAUAGAUUAGUGGCGAACGGGUGAGUAACACGUGAAUAACCUGCCCUUAAUUUUGGAAUAACCCAGGGAAACCUGGGCUAAUACCGGAUACGACCCUCGGCGGCAUCGCCAGGGGGUGGAAAGAAUUUCGGUCAAGGAUGGACUCGCGGCCUAUCAGCUGGUUGGUGAGGUAACGGCUCACCAAGGCGACGACGGGUAGCCGGCCUGAGAGGGUGACCGGCCACACUGGGACUGAGACACGGCCCAGACUGCUACGGGAGGCAGCAGUGGGGAAUAUUACACAAUGGGCGCAGGCCGGAUGCAGCAACGCCGCGUGAGGGAUGACGGCCUUCGGGUUGUAAACCUCUUUUAGUAGGGAAGAAGCGAAAGUGACGGUACCUGCAGAAAAAGCACCGGCUAACUACGUGCCAGCCGCCGCCGUAA